AACUGGGUCUAAUACCGGAUAGGACACAUCGGCGCAUGUUGGUGUGUGGAAAGAUUGGGUUCGGCUGGGGAUGGGCCCGCGGCCUAUCAGCUUGUUGGUGGGGUGAUGGCCUACCAAGGCGGUGACGGGUAGCCGGCCUGAGAGGGCGACCGGCCACACUGGGACUGAGACACGGCCCAGACUCCUACGGGAGGCAGCAGUGGGGAAUCUUGCGCAAUGGGCGGAAGCCUGA
rnacentral:rRNA from 1 species